UGAGGAAUAUUGGUCAAUGGGCGAGAGCCUGAACCAGCCAAGUAGCGUGUAGGACGACGGCCCUAUGGGUUGUAAACUGCUUUUAUAAGGGAAUAAAGUAAGUCUCGUGAGACUUUUUGCAUGUACCUUAUGAAUAAGGACCGGCUAAUUCCGUGCCAGCAGCCGCGGUAAUACGGAAGGUCCGGGCGUUAUCCGGAUUUAUUGGGUUUAAAGGGAGCGUAGGCCGUCUGUUAAGCGUGUUGUGAAAUGUCGGGGCUCAACCUGGGCAUUGCAGCGCGAACUGGUUUCCUUGAGUACGCACAAAGUGGGCGGAAUUCGUGGUGUAGCGGUGAAAUGCUUAGAUAUCACGAAGAACUCCGAUUGCGAAGGCAGCUCACUGGAGCGCAACUGACGCUGAAGCUCGAAAGUGCGGGUAUCGAACAGGAUUAGAUACCCUGGUAGU
rnacentral:rRNA from 1 species